AAGCCCAGAAGCACGGUUAUGUGUUUGUCUUGGCACCGACUUCAACUGAGUAAUUUUGGAAAGGGCAAUUCCGGCAGAGGACAAACUGGGAGUGUGGGGCAUUGUAAGCAGUUUGUAUUUCAGGAGCAGGGAGAUGGGAGCCAGGCAGCAGGAGUCAGCUCACGGAGGACGGCUUCAUAUACCACGCGGACCUUGGAUUUUGCCCUCUCAGUAGCAGAUGAGAAGUCACUGAGGACUUUAAGCAAGGAGUAACAUGGAAAUAUUUGCAUUUUGAAAGGUUUCUGGAUGACCCCAGGGAAAACAAAGAGAGAAGGGAGAGGGGAAAACCCCGGUUGAGUACCAUGGAAGCUGCAUGCCGGGUGGUGACAAGUGUCACGGCAUUCACCCUUCCAACAGCAGCCUGACCACCAAACCACGACCCAGGAAAGAUGGUGCCCGAGAGGCUGUCUGUGCUCUGAGAUAAAGCCAGCGGCUAGAGGUCAGACACAAUGGACCUUUCUCAGUGUUCACCCAUGAGCGCUCCUGGCAAGGACCUCGAAAGAGUGACAGCUCUCAUCACCUCCCCUAAGCGCAGAGAUGGGAAUGGAGCUUGGCCCAGGUCCCCAACGGCAGGAACAGACGCCACCACCAUCCAGCUCAGCCCUGGGAGAUGGUUCAACGGCAGGGUCGUCUUCGCUCGAGAUAGACCGAAGAGCUCAGCUUUGCAGUUUUUUUAUCUUGAUGACAGAUGUGCUCUUUUUAAAAUGUCACAGAACAAGCAGAACUCUAAACGAUGCUGCCUGCUUUUCUGUGGCUCAUUCUCAGGACCUUUUGACAGUUCCAAUAUGUCUGUGCUCUUGAGAAAUGGAUUUGGGACAGAGACAGUGAGAGCCGUCGCUGGAACUCACUGAGGGUCUGCUGGAAAGGCGUAAAAGCCCAAGGGCCAGGGCUGGCGCGGCUCCAGGGAAGGCGGACUGGGAGACAAUGCCGCUCAACUUCACAGUGGGUUUCUGUGCUGAUACUUGUUUGGCCGGAGAGCAACACGUUGGACUGUGCUUUUUGAUGACAACUGACCAGAAGUCUGGUUACCUCGCAAGGAAAUUCUAUGACGUUUCAGUGAUAUUUAGAAGACUUCUCACAACACAUGGUCAAGUUAAAAAUAACAGUUCAGGGGUGCCUGGGUGGCUCCAUCAUUAAGCAUCUGCCUUUGGCUCAGGUCAUGAUCUCAGGGUCCUGGGAUCGGGCCCCACGUUGGGCUUCCUGCUCUGCUGGGAAGCCUGUUUCCCCCUCACCCACUCCCCCUGCUUGGGCUCCCUCUGUCGCUGUGUCUCUCUCUCUCUCUGUCAAAUAAAUAAAUAAAUAAAAUCUUUUAAUUAAAAAAAA